UUAUUUUGAUCUUGUGUCUAAUGCUUUAUUCUGAGUUGACCAAGGAAUAUUUCAUAUGAUACAUGAGAAGACAAAGUAGACUGCUAGCUAUGGGAUUUGCUUGCUUGGAUGUGGCCAUAUUUAUUUGAUGCCUUGAUCUUCAUGAUGUAUGGAUAUUGUUAAUUACUUGUUUAUUAUUGCUUGAUUCCAUGUCCAAAGGGAAAAUGGGUUUUCUAUAUGACAUUCUUGUCUGUUGAAUUGAAACCUAGUGGUCAGAUCUUUUCAACUCUUAACUUUUAAAUUUGUGCUUAGGAUUAGUCUCUUCAUCUCCUCCCACUUCUUAAAUUUCAAAAUCUCUCCCCCUUUU
rnacentral:lncRNA from 1 species